ACUGUACACCUCAGCUUUGAAGGAUCUAUCCAAGCAAUCCUGAUGAAAGACAAAAAUAAAGCAGCUGGUUUCUUUUGACAUGGACUGGCUAAAGAAUUUUCCAGACUGACAGAUUGCCAGCUACUAAGUUUCCGAAUGGAAUAAAGAUCACGACCUCCACUCCCUGUAUAGGUGAAGGAAUUUCCAUGAUCCUGAAACAUAUGGAUGGUUUUGA